rnacentral:rRNA from 1 species
GAUGAACGCUAGCGGCAGGCCUAGCACAUGCAAGUCGAGGGAGGAGCUUUCGGGCUUCGACCGGCGUACGGGUGCGUAACGCGUAUACAAUCUGCCUUUCACAUAGGGAUAGCCCGAAGAAAUUUGGAUUAAUACCUAAUGGUAUAUAGAGGUGGCAUCACCUUUAUAUUAAAGCUGAGGCGGUGAAAGAUGAGUAUGCGUUCUAUUAGCUAGUUGGAGAGGUAACGGCUCCCCAAGGCGACGAUAGAUAGGGGUUCUGAGAGGGAUAUCCCCCACACUGGUACUGAGAUACGGACCAGACUCCUACGGGAGGCAGCAGUGAGGAAUAUUGGACAAUGGUCGGAAGACUGAUCCAGCCAUGCCGCGUGCAGGAAGACGGCCUUAUGGGUUGUAAACUGCUUUUGCAGGGGAAGAAUAAGGACUACGCGUAGUUUGAUGACGGUACUCUGCGAAUAAGCAUCGGCUAACUCCGUG